rnacentral:tRNA from 1 species
UUUGUUAAAGUGUAGUGCACUUAAAAAUUUGAUUUUUAAAGAGAUUAAAUAUCUAACAAUUU